rnacentral:piRNA from 1 species
UGAGAUUAAAAAUUAGAACUCUA